UAGGACUUGCUUGUCCUUCACCAUAAACCACCUGUCCCAAAUAGGAAUUCUUUGCUGCUCUCCAAGAAGCCCAUUCUGCUGUUUACAGGAAAUGCUGGGGCUACAAGAACAAUUAAACACCACCACAAGAAAGCAAUCAGACAAAUCUAGAAUUGGGGACAUUCUGCAAGACAACUGAUGUGGUUUCUUGAAAUAGACAAUGCCAUAACAAGAAAAGCUCCAAUCUUCAACCUUUCCCUGCCACUCUUCCCCAGCAGGCUGAAUGUUCUGCUUUAUGGAUGCCCUCUCUCUUUGAGCUGGAUUUGGCACAUGCGAGAUUCACAGGAAGUAGCAAAAAUAAUACAGACAAGUCUCCUGUAGCCUUCAUCCAGUCUUCCCCCAUGGUUUCAUCUUAUG
rnacentral:lncRNA from 1 species